rnacentral:pre_miRNA from 17 species
CUAUAUAUACCCUGUAGAUCCGGAUUUGUGUAAACAGACGCACAGUCACAAAUUCGUAUCUAGGGGAGUAUGUAGU